AUCAGAUCUAUGAACCCUGACCUUUGGAGUAAAACAAACAGUGAUGUGUCAGCAACUCAUCCAUGUUGCCCAGGAUGCCAAACGGAACACUUGGGAGCUUGUGGUUUCUACAGCAUUUGAGGCAGAGUUUCCAAACCCAGCCCUAGGCGUGUGUGUGUGUGUGUGUGUGUG